UUUCACAUGGGCAGUAUUUAGUUCAAUUCAGAACUGCAGAUAGUAUAGUGUGCAGAGCAGCAAUGGGAUGUCUGAGCACAAGUGGCUGACUUCCAGGCGACUUCAGGAAGCACAUUUAUAUAUUUCUCCUUAAUUAAACUGGGAUUCUGCACCCUUGACAUCCUCCGACCCUCCUUGCUUCUGCAGAAGGAGACGGUGACCUGCACAGCACAACAAAACUACAAAUCACCACAGAGCUGCAGACCAGCAAAUGAAGUGAAAGGGGGGCAAUUUGACCAACAUCACCUGUGUCGGUUACCCAGAAGUCGACGAAACAUGUUAUCGGGUUUCCAAGUUCCCCAACAGGCUAUAUUAAUGACACUCCGGCCUUUAGGUAUAUUGUGAUUUUUAAAGUGAUCAGAACUGGAUGAAAAAGAGUACAAGACAUCUUCCACCAAAUGACAAGAUAAACAGCAAUUCAUAGAAGACAGUAAUUUCUAUACACCAAGCUAAGAGUGGGCCUAGCAAAAAAGAACCCAGACCAGCUGAGCUGCAAGAUGACCUUCUGCAGAACUCUGCCCACAAAUGCAAAUAAGAAAGAAGUUUGGAAAACUGCCAACUCCUUGCACGAAGACUGAAAUAGGAUGAGCAGAGAAGGGUGUUGGUGUUGACAUUUUCAGAUGCUGUCAAGUCAACGGAGUUCUGUUGUAGUGGUUGCUUCAGUGAACAUUCAACGCUGUCGGCCUUAACACCGAAGAUAGCAACCUAACCACCACAUGAUAUUUCUCCCCCACCCUGCAAAGCUUUACAAAAAAAGGUCACAAUCAACAUUCAUUGCUGUCGGUGGGUUUAACUAUGUGGACAAGCUCACUGAACAAUGAAUGCAACUGUGGCCCCACAUUUUACAGUUGCCAUCGAGAGGAACAUCAGCUCUGAAAGCAGUAAUGAGAAGCAAACACUUCUUAUAGGCUACAUUUUUCUGGUUAAAAAAAAUAGU
rnacentral:lncRNA from 1 species